rnacentral:rRNA from 1 species
UGGGGAAUAUUGCACAAUGGGCGCAAGCCUGAUGCAGCCAUGCCGCGUGUAUGAAGAAGGCCUUCGGGUUGUAAAGUACUUUCAGUCGGGAGGAAGGUGGUAAGGUUAAUAACCUUAUCAAUUGACGUUACCGACAGAAGAAGCACCGGCUAACUCCGUGCCAGCAGCCGCGGUAAUACGGAGGGUGCAAGCGUUAAUCGGAAUUACUGGGCGUAAAGCGCACGCAGGCGGUUGAUUGAGUCAGAUGUGAAAUCCCCGGGCUUAACCUGGGAAAUGCAUUCGAAACUGGCAGGCUAGAGUCUUGUAGAGGGGGGUAGAAUUCCAGGUGUAGCGGUGAAAUGCGUAGAGAUCUGGAGGAAUACCGGUGGCGAAGGCGGCCCCCUGGACAAAGACUGACGCUCAGGUGCGAAAGCGUGGGGAGCAAACAGG